GCCUACGGGGGGCAGCAGUGAGGAAUAUUGGUCAAUGGUCGGGAGACUGAACCAGCCAAGCCGCGUGAGGGAGGAAGGUACAGAGUAUCGUAAACCUCUUUUGUCAGGGAACAAAGGCGGGGACGUGUCCCCGGAUGAGUGUACCUGAAGAAAAAGCAUCGGCUAACUCCGUGCCAGCAGCCGCGGUAAUACGGAGGACGCGAGCGUUAUCCGGAUUUAUUGGGUUUAAAGGGUGCGCAGGCGGUCUGGUAAGUCAGCGGUCAAAGCCCGGGGCUCAACCCCGGCCCGCCGUGUAAACUGGCAGG
rnacentral:rRNA from 1 species